rnacentral:lncRNA from 1 species
AUGACCGGGGAGGGGACGCGGGUGGAGACCCCAGUCCUCCCCGCCCGCAGCCCCUGCACCCGGCCCACACCGGUUCCCACGCCCCCGCCCAGCGUGCCUUGGCCCGGAGCCCGGACCGGCCCCAGCGCCGGGGGCCACCUCGCCCCGGGGCCGCCGCAGAACGUGCGCGUCCAAGGGGAAGGCAGCGGUCCGCCUCCUUCCCGGGCAGAGGCCCGGGGCCGAGGUUGGGGGGGGGGGCGGGGACAAGAGGGCCGGAGAGAGCCCCGUGCGGGUCCCCAGAGGGCCGGGCGGGCGCAGACUGCGGCAGGCCGGGGUGCACCCCGCGGCCCCGACCCCGCCGCCCCGCCGGGUCCCCGCGCACUGACCGGCCAGCAGGGCGUAGAGCAGCUGCGCGCGCGGGUGCUGCCGCAGGCCGCGGAAGGCCGUGUUGGGGAUGCGCUCCAUGAUGCCGUCGUAGAAGAUGCGGCGCGCCGCCUCCUGCUCCGCCGCGCGGAACUCGCGGAUGUACACGCCGCGCCCCUCGGGCGGCUCCGCGCCCCCGGCGCCGCCGAGAGCCUGGGGCCCGGCGCGGGCGGGGAGCGGCGGGGCGGCGGCCGGCCCGGGGCAGCGGGCAGCGGGGCCACAUGGCGCCGGCGGCGGCGAGCAGCGCGUCCUUCUGGGCCCCGGCAGCGCCUCAUGGUCCUCGGCGGCCACGAUCUUCGUCUCGCAGACCAUGUCGGGAGGCCCACAAUGCAUGCACCUGGCCGGGCGGCGCAGCGCAGGGACGCGGGCCGGGCGGCGGGCCCAGGGCAGGGCGCGGCGCCCUCGGACCCGCGGCGGCGGCGGCGGCAGCGGCGGCGGCUCAGGAGCGCGGGGCGGAGGCGGCGGGCGGCCGGGGCGCGCGCAGGGAGCUGCGCCGCAUUUUGGAGAAGUAUUUAUAAUGCAGCGGCGCCGGUGCAGUCGCGGCGCCCGGGGUCCCGCAGGGUCCUAGCGUCCACUGCAUUGGCUGCCGAGGGUCACCAUGUGAUCUCGAGGGUGGGAGCAGACGCCGCCCCGCGCCCGCCCGAUGGCACACUCGGGCGCUGCACCGCGGCCGGCCGGGGCGGCGCGGGCGUCCCCGGGAGCGGCGGGGCGGCGGCCGGCCCGGGGCAGCGGGCAGCGGGGCCACAUGGCGCCGGCGGCGGCGAGCAGCGCGUCCUUCUGGGCCCCGGCAGCGCCUCAUGGUCCUCGGCGGCCACGAUCUUCGUCUCGCAGACCAUGUCGGGAGGCCCACAAUGCAUGCACCUGGCCGGGCGGCGCAGCGCAGGGACGCGGGCCGGGCGGCGGGCCCAGGGCAGGGCGCGGCGCCCUCGGACCCGCGGCGGCGGCGGCGGCAGCGGCGGCGGCUCAGGAGCGCGGGGCGGAGGCGGCGGGCGGCCGGGGCGCGCAGGAGCUGCGCCGCAUUUUGGAGAAGUAUUUAUAAUGCAGCGGCGCCGGUGCAGUCGCGGCGCCUGGGGUCCCGCAGGGUCCUAG